UUUGGUGUUGUCCUAAGUAUCAAUAAUGCAACUUUGAUCACAAGACAUUCUGACCUAAUUAUUAUAUUCUUCUGGUCAUUUCUUUUCUGUAGGACAAAGCCAAAUGCAGUGCUUAUAAUAAAUAGUCUCUUCUCCACAAUGCCAUAUUUGCUCAGAAUAUCCCAUCAUAGAAAAAUGUGAUGGUUCCAUGUCCUUCACUCCAUAAACCUUGACCUUGUUAUACGUAGCACAUAUAUUCUUAUAUCUCUAUCUAUUAACAUAUAUGUUUCACAGUAGGUUUAGAUAUCCUGUUGGCUCUUAAGAACCUUGAGGUCAACCUUUAUAUCUAUUCUUGCAUUUUAAGUAAGAUCUAGUUGGUUCCUUCUCCAAACUUGAGGAGAAAACGUAAGUUCUAUGGUCAUAAAAAUAAAAUUUGGUUCAAUUUUUCCCUUUCCAUCUAGGCUGCCCUAGAGAAUGAUCUGGACAGUCCAGCAACUGAGCUUGCAGAUGUGGCAGCCAAAAGCAGCCUUUUGGACAUCUGCAUGAGAUGCUGGCCUUCAUGGCAGCAGAAGGCCAUGAGGAGUCUUGAGCAGCAGAGGCACUUUCCCACUUUCAACCUCCUUUAAGCUUUAGUAUUAUUGGUCUGUGUGGCCCCAGGAAGAGCUAUUUCUUCUCAUGAAAGGAGGACACAGUCUCUUUUCCUUUCCUCUUCUCUGCUGUUGCCCUUGCCUGCCUUGUUUUUCUGGUACUGGGAAGUGCCCGGCUCCUCCCUUCCUCCUGGGAGGAAACAAAGUCAAUUUCAAAAUGACAUAGUUAUCUAUCAUUUUCUCCAAAGAACAUAA
rnacentral:lncRNA from 1 species